GAACGGGUGAGUAACGCGUAGGUAACCUGCCUGGUAGCGGGGGAUAACUAUUGGAAACGAUAGCUAAUACCGCAUAACAGUAGAUGUUGCAUGACAUUUGCUUAAAAGGUGCAAUUGCAUCACUACCAGAUGGACCUGCGUUGUAUUAGCUAGUUGGUGGGGUAACGGCUCACCAAGGCGACGAUACAUAGCCGACCUGAGAGGGUGAUCGGCCACACUGGGACUGAGACACGGCCCAGACUCCUACGGGAGGCAGCAGUAGGGAAUCUUCGGCAAUGGACGGAAGUCUGACCGAGCAACGCCGCGUGAGUGAAGAAGGUUUUCGGAUCGUAAAGCUCUGUUGUAAGAGAAGAACGAGUGUGAGAGUGGAAAGUUCACACUGUGACGGUAUCUUACCAGAAAGGGACGGCUAACUACGUGCCAGCAGCCGCGGUAAUACGUAGGUCCCGAGCGUUGUCCGGAUUUAUUGGGCGUAAAGCGAGCGCAGGCGGUUAGAUAAGUCUGAAGUUAAAGGCUGUGGCUUAACCAUAGUACGCUUUGGAAACUGUUUAACUUGAGUGCAAGAGGGGAGAGUGGAAUUCCAUGUGUAGCGGUGAAAUGCGUAGAUAUAUGGAGGAACACCGGUGGCGAAAGCGGCUCUCU
rnacentral:rRNA from 1 species